rnacentral:lncRNA from 10 species
GGGCCCCCGGAGAAAGGACUCCUGCCAGCCGCCUCUUCUCCACCUGGGGUGGAGCGUCUGUGGCGUGGCCUUGGUCCGCCGAGACUGUGGACGGUCUGGCUAUGCUGUCCCCUGCUGAACCUCUUCCUGGGAGGGGCCUCAGGGGUUCUUGCUCACUCCCAGGACCUGUUCACGCGUGUCCACAAUUUGGUCCCCCUUGUGCCUGAAAACCUUCCAGGAGGACGCUCGCCUUCCACUGUCCACAGCCCCCAGAUGUAGAAACUGAAACCCAGCUUGGGGACCGCCUUCCUGAGGACACAACGCUGGGUAAGGCUGGGCUUGGCCCUGCUGGGGAAAAGGGGUCAGGGUGGGAUCUGGGGAGCAGGAAGCUGUCCACUGUAGGAAGAGGGGAGGGGAAGACCCAGAGAAAGCCCCGGCUCCUGGCCGCUCCCCAGCCCAGCCCAGCCUCAGCCCCAGGCGGGUCCAAGGUAAGUCAAGGGCUCCGAAGUAAGCUUCCAACGGGAAGGGGUGAGAGCCGAGGGCUGUCUUCACAGCUGGAGGGGUCUGAGUCCCAAGCCAGGGAAAGAACUCUGGGUCAGCUGACCCUGGUGGGUGUGGAGCAGGCCCCGGAGGACACUACCAGCAGGCCGCCGGGCAGCUGGGAGUGUUCCAGGUGGCUUCCAAGGACCCGUGACGCUCCCCACGUUCACCCACUGCCCUCCGUGUGGGAGCGCACUGGGGGUAGAAGUCCUCAGCACAAGCAGAACGGCCACUGUCCUGCAGGGAGACAUUCCCCUCUCUGUUCCAGAAGAGUGUGUGAUGUCACGCCAGCCUCAGGGGAGGGUGCCGGCAGUCUUGCCCGGGCCACCAGCAACAGUGGCUCUCGAGGAAGGACCCGGAAGUUGGCCCGCAAAGCUGGCCCCAACCCACUCUGAUCUGUGGUCCCCUCCAUGGUUGCAGGAAGAGUGGUCUCUUUUGUCUUGGCUUACGAUCGUCCAGUCGGGGUGAGAUACGUGUAAUUUGCGAUAUUUAUGCUUAUUUUGCUAUUUCAGUUUUGAUCAAUGAAAGGACAUCUUUGCCUAAGAACACAGUUUUUAUUACUAAGACAAUCACAGGUAACCCCCAGAGAAUUUAGUCUCAUAACUGUGACAAGGGAGAAAAGAAUAUAGUAUUCUCUUUCUCCUUUUGAAAAUAGUUCUACUGCCGGCCGCGGUGGCUCACGCCUGUAAUCCCAACACUUUGGGAGGCUGAGGUGGGUGGAUCACGUGAGGUCAGGAGCUCAAGACCAGCCUGGCCAACAUGAUGAAACCCCAUCUCUACCCAAAAUACAAAAAUUAGCUGGACGUGGUGCCACACGCCUGUAACCCCAGCUACCUGGGAGGCUGAGGAAGGAGAAUCACUUGAACCCAGGAGACGGAGGUUGCAGUGAGCCAAGAUCACGCCAUUGCACUGCAGCCUGGGUGACAGAACAAGACUACGUCUCAAAAAAAGAAAAAAGAAAGAAAAAAAAGAAAAUAGUUCUGCUGUGAAAAUGACUGUUUGCAUUACCAAGAAGAGAUUUCAAAGUUAUCUUAAAAUGUUCCUGUUCCCAAGAAGCAGUAUAUAGUAAUAAAGACAUAUAUUCACCAAGAAUAACAUGUCCAGAAAGACAAGUUCUUAAAAACAGAAUGAGUGACAGUGGGCACACCAUGAGACUUAGUCACCUCCAAGAAGGACCUGGGUGUCCUGGGGAGCACAUUGGACUCAUA